rnacentral:misc_RNA from 1 species
CAAAACUACUCAAGCUAAGGUUUACCUUCUGCUUGGUCUUGGAAUUGGAGGCUUAUGUCUCCUUUCUGAAAUACAGUGGCGAAUUGACUGUGCUGUAAACGUAGUAACUUUACCCGUUGAAAGCAUGUUCACAUUCCGCCAAAACCCCCUCUAUUAUCUAGUUUGACCUCGGAUCAGGUAGGGAUACCCGCUGAACUUAA